rnacentral:rRNA from 1 species
CUGGACCUCAGCUCAGGCGUGACUACCCGCCGAAUUUAAGCAUAUCAAUAAGCGGAGGAAAAGAAACCAACAGGGAUUCCCCCAGUAACGGCGAGCGAAGCGGGAACAGCUCGAGCCUUAAAUCUCCGGCGCACAGCCGGCGAAUUGUAGCCGAGAGAGACAUCCACGGCUGGCGGUCGAUCGGUCGAAGUUG